CCUACGGGUGGCAGCAGUGAGGAAUAUUGGUCAAUGGGCGCGAGCCUGAACCAGCCAAGUAGCGUGAAGGAUGACUGCCCUACGGGUUGUAAACUUCUUUUAUAAAGGAAUAAAGUGCGGCACGUGUGCCUUUUUGUAUGUACUGUAUGAAUAAGGAUCGGCUAACUCCGUGCCAGCAGCCGCGGUAAUACGGAGGAUCCGAGCGUUAUCCGGAUUUAUUGGGUUUAAAGGGAGCGUAGAUGGGUUGUUAAGUCAGUUGUGAAAGUUUGCGGCUCAACCGUAAAAUUGCAUUUGAUACUGGUAGUCUUGAGUAUAGUUGAGGUAGGCGGAAUGCGUGGUGUAGCGGUGAAAUGCUUAGAGAUCACGAAGAACUCCGAUUGCGAAGGCAGCUUACUAAACUGCAACUGACAUUGAUGCACGAAAGUGUGGGUAUCAAACAGGAUUAGAUACCCGAGUAGUC
rnacentral:rRNA from 1 species